AGCGUAGGCGGAUUUUUAAGUGAGAUGUGAAAUACUCGGGCUUAACCUGAGUGCUGCAUUUCAAACUGGAAGUCUAGAGUGCAGGAGAGGAGAAGGGAAUUCCUAGUGUAGCGGUGAAAUGCGUAGAGAUUAGGAAGAACACCAGUGGCGAAGGCGCUUCUCUGGACUGUAACUGACGCUGAGGCUGAAAGCGUGGGGAGCAAACA
rnacentral:rRNA from 1 species